rnacentral:rRNA from 1 species
GAUGAACGCUGGCGGCGUGCCUAAUACAUGCAAGUCGAGCGAACAGACGAGGAGCUUGCUCCUCUGACGUUAGCGGCGGACGGGUGAGUAACACGUGGAUAACCUACCUAUAAGACUGGGAUAACUUCGGGAAACCGGAGCUAAUACCGGAUAACAUGUUGAACCGCAUGGUUCAACAGUGAAAGACGGUUUUGCUGUCACUUAUAGAUGGAUCCGCGCCGCAUUAGCUGGUUGGUAAGGUAACGGCUUACCACGGCAACGAUGCGUAGCCGACCUGAGAGGGUGAUCGGCCACACUGGAACUGAGCCACGGUCCAGACUCCUACGGGAGGCAGCAGUAGGGAAUCUUCCGCAAUGGGCGAAAGCCUUACGGAGCAGCGCCGCGUGAGUGAAGAAGGUCUUCGGAUCGUAAAGCUCUGUUAUUAGGGAAGAACAAAUGUGUAAGUAACUAUGCACGUCUUGACGGUACCUAAUCAGAAAGCCACGGCUAACUACGUG